UACGAAGGGGGCUAGCGUUGUUCGGAAUCACUGGGCGUAAAGCGUACGUAGGCGGAUCGUUAAGUCAGGGGUGAAAGCCUGGAGCUCAACUCCAGAACUGCCUUUGAUACUGGCAAUCUUGAGUCCGGAAGAGGUGAGUGGAACUCCUAGUGUAGAGGUGGAAAUUCGUAGAUAUUAGGAAGAACACCAGUGGCGAAGGCGGCUCACUGGUCCGGUACUGGACGCUGAGGUGCGAAAGCGUGGGGGAGCAAACAGGG
rnacentral:rRNA from 1 species